rnacentral:rRNA from 1 species
GAACCGUACGAACGUUAUUGGGAAUUACUGGGCUUAAAGGGUGCGUAGGCGGCGGGGAAAGUUGGAUGUGAAAUCCCUCGGCUCAACCGAGGAACUGCGUCCAAAACUUCCUGGCUUGAGGGAGACAGAGGUGAGCGGAACUCAGGGUGGAGCGGUGAAAUGCGUUGAUAUCCUGGGGAACACCGGUGGCGAAGGCGGCUCACUGGGUCUCUUCUGACGCUGAGGCACGAAAGCUAGGGUAGCGAACGGGAUUAGAUACCCCGGGUAGUCCUAGCUGUAAACGAUGAGCACUUGGCUGGAGAUCCCUUCCCACAGGUUUCCCAGCCGUAGCGAAAGUGUUAAGUGCUCCGCCUGGGGAGUAUGGUCGCAAGGCUG